rnacentral:ncRNA from 1 species
UCUUAUCCAGAGUGGUGGAGGGAAGUGCCCGAUAAAGCCACGGCAACCGUCUAAUUUAGACAAGGUGCUAAUUCACUGAAUGGUCAUUGGAUCAUUCGAAGAUGAG